GGUUGUGUUUCCAUUACGUCCCAAAUCUGUUCCUUCCCUAAUACACCUGGUCCCGUAAUAGGUAUUCCCCCCAUCCAGCGCUGAUUAGAGAAUUCUUACCCAUUUCUUGUUUCCGUUUCCUUUUUCUGCCCUCAUAGAUUUCUGCUUCUUCUUCUAUCGGCAUUACAGAUCUGUCCUCAUUUCUUCUGCUUUCAUAACAAAUCCUCAACAUUGUCUUCAUCGGAGGCCGAUGAUGAAAAAAUUGGAAGCUGGUGGGACAGAAAGUUGAUUCAGGGGGUCUUUAUAGACUGCUUCAAUGUGCAAGUAAAGGGGAUAAAGCUGGCGUAAUACAAGAACUAGAUAAAGGUGUGGAGCCUAAUGGAGCUGAUUAUGAUAGGAGAACUGCCUUUCAUUUAGCUGCUUGUGAAUGUUGGAUUGAAGUUAUUGAUUUGCUUCUUGAGAAAGGUGCUGAUGUGAAUUCUUUAGAUCAUUGGGGCCGAACUGUUGGGGUUAAAGGCGAUUUACGACGGUUCGACCGAUGGGUAGAGAAUUGUAAUGGUUAUGGGUGAUUGGAAUUUGAGUUUUUUGAGGGUCGGAGUUGGAGAGGAAAAAGAAAAAUAGUUGGAGUUCGAAUAGAAUUUGGUCCUUGUAGGUCUUAAAAGGGUGUCUUUGUUCAUUCACCCCCGAAUAAGGUUUGCAAGAUACUUGAAGCUCGAGGGGGAAAUGAAUCUGAUGUGAGUAAUUAUUUUUGUAGCCAUUGUCUGACGCACAUAGCUUUGACACAAUGAGGUUUGCAAGAUACUUAAAGCUCGAGGGGGAAUCGAUCCGGUAGGAAUGGACUCUCAAGCUCCGUGCUUUGAAAUCGAUCAUAGUGAGGUUGACAUGGAGGAAGCAACCCGUAUCGGAGAGAUCUUGGCUCAUCAUUUUGGGGGAUGGCUUUGAUUCUUGCAUCCACAAAUCUCCUCACUGCAAGAAUAGCUGCUGGUUGUUUUCUUCUUGCCCUCGUUGUCGUGCUCUUUUAUGCUAAAAAUGUAAGAUAUCAAGGAUGAUGGUAUUUCCUGAUAAAAUUUUGCAUUAAUAUUUAGAUACUUUCUUUCUUUCCUUUUUUAUUUUGUAUUCUUCAAAGAGUACUUUCAAAUUUUUAACUUGUAAUGUGUAUGAUUAUUCAAACAGUGGACACUUCGAGGACUGUCCAUCGGUGAGUACCCUUAUAACCUUGUGGUGACUUGUGUUUUUAUAACUAGGAGUUGAACUUGAAGUGCUAACAAUUUUGUUAUCUAUAAACUAGAUUCCUCAGGUUUUAUUAUUUUCCUUGCUCUAAUUUGGUUUUUGCAAGAAAGGACAACAGUUCAUAUUCUCCGUUACGCCAUUCUAUUUAUCGAUAUAGGCUCUCUUGUCGUAUUUUCUUUAUCGUUCCCAAAGAACAAUUUCAUCCUACCAUCUCUUCCGUGAAAAGAAAUGUUGCUUAUUUCUUAUUUUGGAAAUUGCAAGUGUCAUGAACAGUCUAUUUUCAGUCUAUGGUAUGUCUCGGUGAUGGUGUUUCCUCUGACAUUUUUUUUUCUUUCAAUUAAGCAUUAAAUUUGAGGUGAUUUGAAUAUUGUUUGCAUAGAUAUCUAUGAUGAUCUAAUAUGUCGAGGAGUCAACUCCAGUGAUGCCGAGAAGUUUGCAGAAAUUUGUCCUUGCCCCUGCAAUGGAGUUGGAUGGGGGUUUAUAUGGGGAAUGAUAUCAUUCAUAUUUCUUGGUGCAUCAGUGUAUCUAGGACUUCUCAUCUUAGCUUGACCUGAGUUUCAAUUUCAGGUUCUGGGAUUGGUUGAAAGUCAUCUUGGUACUGGCAAGUUAUUAUUGUACAUCAUUCAGCACUGUGUUAAAAUGGAGGAUGCCAUUUUUCCUUAUUCAGAACAUAGUUUAUUUGUUUGUAAUUUGAUUCAUCAUUCAUCCAGCAAUGUAUUGUAGUGCAAUUUUGUUUUUGGUAUUAGAUAGUAACAGCUUGGCUUCAUUCUUUGUAACCCUUUCUCAUUUGGGCUCAGAUUCCUUUUUUUUUCAGACUGCACUAGACUAAACCAGAUUGUAAAGUAAUAUUAUUUCCAGUUUUAAUUCAUUUUCAGCCCAUCAUUCUGAA